GACGAACGCUGGCGGCGUGCUUAACACAUGCAAGUCGAACGAUGAAACCUAGCUUGCUAGGUCGAUUAGUGGCGAACGGGUGAGUAACACGUGACUAACCUGCCCCUUUCUCUGGGAUAACGCUCCGAAAGGAGUGCUAAUACCGGAUACUCACAUCGAGGCACAUGCCUUGGUGUGGAAAGUUUUUCGGAAAGGGAUGGAGUCGCGGCCUAUCAGCUUGUUGGUGAGGUAACGGCUCACCAAGGCGACGACGGGUAGCCGGCCUGAGAGGGCGACCGGCCACACUGGGACUGAGACACUGCCCAGACUCCUACGGGAGGCAGCAGUGGGGAAUAUUGCACAAUGGGCGCAAGCCUGAUGCAGCGACGCCGCGUGAGGGACGAAGGUCUUCGGAUUGUAAACCUCUUUCAGUAGGGACGAAGCGAAAGUGACGGUACCUAAAGAAGAAGCACCGGCUAACUACGUGCCAGCCGCCGCGGUAA
rnacentral:rRNA from 1 species